rnacentral:rRNA from 1 species
AGCUCCAUUAGUGUAUAUUAAAGUUGUUGCGGUUAAAAAGCUCGUAGUUGGAUUUCUGUUGGGUAUCGCGUGGUCUGCUCCUCGAGUACGUAUCUGCGUCGAUCCUGGCAUCCUCGCAACGCUCUGUGGCAUUAAUUUGCUGCUUGGCUUGCGACUUUUACUUUGAGGAAAUUAGAGUGUUCACGGCAGGCAUUUGCUUUGAAUAUAUUAGCAUGGAAUAAUAACAUAGGACUUCGGUUUUAUUUUGUUGGUUUCUAAGGCUGAAGUAAUGAUUAAUAGGGACAAUUGGGGGCACUCGUACAAAUCCGUCAGAGGUGGAAUUCUUGGAUUGGAUUUUGACGAACUACUGCGAAAGCAUUUGCCAAGGAUGUUUUCA